UACAGAGGGUGCAACCGUUGUUCGGAUUUACUGGGCGUAAAGCGCGUGUAGGCUGCUUCGCAAGUCGGAUGUGAAAGCCCUGGGCUCAACCCAGGAAGUGCAUUCGAAACUGCAGAGCUGGAGUCCUGGAGAGGAAGGCGGAAUUCUCGGUGUAGAGGUGAAAUUCGUAGAUAUCGAGAGGAACACCGGUGGCGAAGGCGGCCUUCUGGACAGUGACUGACGCUGAGACGCGAAAGCGUGGGGAGCAAACAGG
rnacentral:rRNA from 1 species